rnacentral:lncRNA from 1 species
CACUCACCGGAGCAGUGAGGCAGAACUAACUGGGAGAGGGUCCUUCUGUGACACCUACUGCAUCACCGGGCUGUGUGAAGUGACUCAGCUGCCAGAACUCACACAAUAUCAUUCUACACCAAAACCUCAUGGGAAAAAUGCUCCACGACCCUCAGGCUUAAACAGCUGUACUGGCCGCUCCCCAGAUCUCCAGCUCCCUGACCCUCAAACUCCAACUGCAGCACCAGCUCCGCCCCGGGUCUCCAGCUCCACAAUCCUCAAACUACAACAGCAGCACCAGCUCCCCUGUGGAUCUCCAGCUCAAUGACUCUCAGACUUGGGAGGCGGCACCGGCUCCCCACCAAGCCUCCAGCUCCACAACCCUCAAACUAGAAAGCAGCACCGGCUACUCCCUGGGUCUCCAGUUCCCUCAAACUUCAGCUAUAGCACUGGCUCUUCCCCGUGGCCACCAGCUCUGCAAACCUCAACUUACACAGUGGUAGCACCAGCUCCUCCCUAGGUCUCCAGCUACACGACCGUCAAAAUUGAACUGCAACACCAGCUCCUCUUUGGCCUCCAGCUCCACAAUCCUCCAACAACAACAGCAACACCGGCUCCUCCCUGAAUCUCCAGCUCAACAACCCUCAGACUUGAGAGGCAGCACCGGCACCUCCCCAAGACUCCAGCUCCAUGACCCUCAGAUUUGAACAGCGGUAGCACCAGCUCCUGUCCAGGUCUCCAGCUUCACGAUCCUUAAACUAGAACAGCAGUACCGCCGCCUCCGUAGGUUUCCAGUUCCAUGAUCCUAAGACAUGAAUGAAAGAACUGGGUCACCCCAGGGCUCCAACUCCAAGACCCACAGAUUUGAACGGCAGCACCGGCUCUUCCUGGGAUCUGCAGCUCCACAGCCUUCAAACUAGAUCAGCAGCUCCGACUCCUCCCUGGGUCUCCAGCUACACAAUCCUCAGACAUGAACAAUAAUAGCACCGGCUCCUCCUUGGGUCUCCAGCUUCACUACCCUCAGACUAGAACAGCAACACCAGUUCCUCCCUGGGUCUCCAGCUCUACAAUCCUCAGACAUAAACAGCAGAAGCACCAGCUCCUACCCUUGUCUCCACUUCCACGACCCUCAAACUACAACAGCAGUACCGGCCUCUCCCCAGGUCCCCAGAUCCACGACCCUCAAAAUAGAAUGGCAUCAUCAGCUCCUCCCUGGGUCUCCAGCUCCCAAACCCUCAAACUUCAAUGGACACAGCACAUCCUCCCCACAGUUAAACAGCAGCAUGGGCUGUUCCCCAAAGCUCCAGAUCCAUGACCCUCUGACUUAAAUGGUGGUAGCACCAGCUCCUCCCUAGGUCUCCAGUUCCAUGACCCUCAAACUACACAGUAGCACCGGCCCCACCCCAGGUCCACAGCUCCACCAACCUCACAUUAGACACUAAGACUACCUCCUCCCCACUGUCCAGCUACACAACCCUCAGCCUUAAACAACAGCAGCACCAGCUCUUACCUGGGUCUCCAGCACCACAACCCUCAGCCUUAAACAACAGCAGCACCAGCUCCUCCCUGUGUCUCAAGCUCCACAACCCUCAGACUAGAACCGCACCCCUCCUCCCUGAGUCUGCAGCUCCAUGACCCUCAAACUACAACAGCAACACAGGCUCCUCCCUGAAUCUCCAGCUCAACAACUCUCAGACUUGAGAGGCAGAACCGGCAACUCCCCAGAACUCUAGAUCUGUUCAGACUAGAACAGCAACACCGGUUCCUCUCUGGAUCUCCAGCUCAGUGACUCUCAGACUUCAAAGGCAGCACCAGCUCCUCCGUGGAUCUCCAGAUCCACAACAUUCAAACCAACAUGGCUCCUCCCUGGGUCUGCAGCUCCACGACCCUCAAACUAGAACAAGACCUCUCCUCCCUGGGCCGCCAGCUUCCUGACCUUCAAACUACAACAACACUGCUCCUCCCUGGGUCUGCAGGUCCAUGACCCUCAGACCAGAACAAGACCUCUCCUCCCUGGGUCGCCAGCUUCCUGACCCUCGAAUUACAACAACCUUGCUCCUCCCUGGGUCUGCAGCUCCACAACCCUGAAACUAGAACAAAAUUUCUCCUACCUGAGUCGCCAGCUUCCUGACACUCGAACGACAACAAAAUUGCUCCUCCCUGGGUCGGCAGCUCCACGACCCUCAAACUCGAACAAGACUUCUCCUCCCCAGGUUGCCAGCUACCAGACCCUCGAACUACAACAACAUUGCUCCACCCUGGGUCUGUAGCUCCACGACCCUCAGACCGGAUCAAGACCUCUCCUCCCUGGGUCGCCAGCUUCCGGACCCUCAAAUUACAACAAAAUUGCUCCUCCCUGGGUCGGCAGCUCCACGACCCUCACAAUAGAACAAGACCUCUCCUCCCUGGGUCGCCAGCUUCCGGACCCUUGAACUACAACAAAAUUGCUCCUCCCUGGGUUGGCAGCUCCACGACCCUCAAACUCCAACAAGACUUCUCCUCCCCGAGUUGCCAGCUGCCAGACCCUCGAAUUACAACAACAUUGCCCCUCCCUGGGUCUGCAGCUCCACGACCCUCAGACUAGUACAAGACCUCUCCCUGGGUCGCCAGCUUCCUGACCGUCGAACUACAACAAAAUUGCUCCUCCCUGCGUCUGCAGCUCCACGACCCUCACACCAGAAGAAGACCUCUCCUCCCUGGGUCGCCAGCUUCCUGACCCUCGAACUACAACAAAAUUGCUCCUCCCUGGGUCUGCAGCUCCACGACCCUCAGACCAGAACAAGACCUCUCCUCCCUGGGUCGCCAGCUUUCUGACCCUCGAACU